rnacentral:rRNA from 1 species
AUGGCCAUCAUCAAGCAGUCGCUCAUUGUCCUAGUGCUGCUCAUAUGCGGAGCAGGCGGCUCCGCCACACCGGCGCCGGCGCCGGAGCCGGCGCUGCUGACGCAGGAUAAUCUGUGUGUCGGCAUAAGCACGUCCAACGAAGAGCUGGCCUGCGUCGCCAACGUCGCACUGGCCUGCUUCGCCGAGAAUGCCGUCACCAACGAGGUUACCUUCACGCCAUGCUUCGUCCUCGCCGCCGGCAGGCAAUGCUUGGCCAAGGAUAAGGAGGAGCCCAACAAGGAGCACUGCAUCGGCCUAGAGAUCAGCAAGCAACUGCUGCCAUGCCUUGGAGAUAGCGCCUGGACCUGCUACAACGACAUCACGGGGUACAUCCCUCCCGUCUUCAUCGCGUGCUUCCAAGGCAGAGCCCUCAUGUGCACCCGACAGUGA